GGGAACGUAUUCACCGCGGCAUGCUGAUCCGCGAUUACUAGCGAUUCCAGCUUCACGCACUCGAGUUGCAGAGUGCGAUCCGGACUACGAUCGGUUUUCUGGGAUUGGCUCCCCCUCGCGGGUUGGCGACCCUCUGUUCCGACCAUUGUAUGACGUGUGAAGCCCUACCCAUAAGGGCCAUGAGGACUUGACGUCAUCCCCACCUUCCUCCGGUUUGUCACCGGCAGUCUCCCUAGAGUGCUCUUGCGUAGCAACUAGGGACAAGGGUUGCGCUCGUUGCGGGACUUAACCCAACAUCUCACGACACGAGCUGACGACAGCCAUGCA
rnacentral:rRNA from 1 species